CAAGGAUUGAACCCAGGUCUCCUGCAUUGCAGGCAGACUCUUUACUGUCGGAGCCACCGAAGCCCCCUUAGAUCUCCAACCAGGGUCCACAGAAGUGAAAGCCCCGAGUUCUAACCACUGGACAGCCCAGGAAUUCCCUUAGUUUGUUAUUGAAAGAUAUACUUGGGACUUCCCUAGGGGCUCAGUGGUAAAGAAUCUGCCUGCCAAUGCAGGAGACACAGGCUCGAUCCCUGGUCCAGGAAGAUUCCACGUGCCGUGGAGCAGCUAAGCCGGUGAGCCACUGCUACAGAGCCCGCCCUCUAGAGCCCAGGAGCCGCACCACGGAAGCCCUUGCACCUAGAGCCCAUGCGCCACCACUGCAAUGAGAAGUCUGAGCUCUGCAGCAAAGACUAGCCCCCCGCUCACCACAACCCAAGAAAGCCUGCGCAGCAACAAAGACCUAGCAUGACCAAAACUUACUUAAUUUUUAAAAAGAUAUAUUUGGAGGGAGAUGAUCUGAGAUUCUAUAAAUCUGUUUCUCCUCAAACUUUCUGGGAAGUCAUGAGAAGCAAGGACACUUCCCAGCAAUGAGCCUGCUCCAGGAGACACGUUGAGACUGUGACCCCUGGAGCCCUCCCCCAGCCCUGACCUCAGAACCACAGGAGGGGCAUCAGCACCCCUCUGCAUCCACUCCAUGGAAGGGCCAUCAUCCACCUCCAGGAAACCAGUACCUGCUGUCUCUGCCUCUCUCUGCUGGGGUGAUGUGUGUGUGAGCCCAGGGUGCAGGUGACAUCUUCUGGAUGCUGGCACACGACGGGGAGCAGCCAGGGGUCAUCACCAGGACACAGCGAUGCAGGAGGAGGAGGUACAGCGCCUAAGCGAGAUGGCACUGGCCUCAGUCUCUAUCUCUGUGAAAUCGGGCAGCAGCUCUGCUGCUGACCACGCUCUGCAGAAAUGCCACAGUGGACCCAAGACCAGCUCCAGGAAUGGCUGAACUCUGCAGAAACGGUAACCAGUCCUCCAGAGAAGCACCAGCAGCCCCCAUGCAGCAUGCCCAGUGCAUGUCCCCACCUCUGCCAGGCUGUAGUUCUGGCUGUUUACCCCAUUUCCCUCAGCUCUGCAGAGGGUGGCUCCUCUCUGACCACCGGAGGACCCGUGAGCUGCAGCAGGGUGUACUGAGCCAUCUCUGAUGACCACAGGGGCUCCCCACUGUGUCCACCCCCACCUGUCUCUGGAAAAGGGCUGGGCUUGACAGUUUUGCUCCACGUAGCUGAAAGGGAGAUGGGGCUCAGAAAGGGAAAGGCCUCGCCCAGACUCUCCCCCGCAAUCCUGGCCACCUGUGCUCGGACCUGAACCCCGAUCUUCCCGUUCAGUGGGUCUUGGGGCUAUCCCCACCCAGGCUUCUCAGUGCCUCAGCAGUCCUUAGAUGGACAGGGAGCAGGCCUGGGGACAGGGACCUCUGGGCUGCAGAAGAAGGGUGUGAGGAGCCCCGCUUCCCACAGAGCAGGACACUGGGAGGGCAGGACUCCACGGGAAGGUCACAUCCCCAAGCUGCAGGCACAUGGGUCAGCCAUUUUUGCCCAGCUCUCCCCAGGCAGGAGUUCUGCUGGUAGAACUGGCUAGCAGCCACCACGUGCUCAUGGUCACCACCAACUUCCAUUUCCAGGGGAGCCUGAGGAGGAGAACCUGGGAUACGGCAGGGUUUCAGUCAUGAGGGUGAGGCAGGGAUUGACCGCCUUCCUGUUCUGCAAAGCUUCCCAGAGCUCAGAGGCAGAGCUGGCCCCCAGCCCGGCCUCCAGCCCCACGGACUCCAGGGCUUGGAGGCAGCGUGGAGGGCAUUCAACCCAGCAGCUUGGGAGCCCCUGUGAGAUGCCCACCAACACAGCUCUCAUCCCCCUGGGAGGGUACAUCAGAUUGGGCUCCUGCCCCACUAUUUACACAGACACUGUCUCCCUGCUGCCUGCAGGCACCUGGGGGUUUCCAGUGAAGGUCGCACCCCCCUGAAGCCUUGGCUCAGCCAUGAUGGACUCUGAGGAGUGCUUUAGAACAUUCUGGAACCCCAAUAGUACGUCAGGGGCCUAUGGCCUGGUCUGGGGUGCUAGCACCUCCUCUGCUCCCUCCCACACCCUCACUGUCCUCCCAUCUCCUGGGGUGUUCCUCCAGAUGGGACUACCCCAACAUCUUGAAUCCCCCCCCACAUCUGAUACAUCCUCAGAGAUCAUUUCAUUCACCCUGCCCAUGUUGGGCAGGUAGGGAAAUUGAGGCACAGCAAGGAGCAGGACUUACCUGUUGAGGCCCGCCCCCAAGGCCACAGAAGCAGAGCCCAGAACCAAGGUCACCUCUGAAGCUGACUGAGCCCCUUUGUAACUGUUGCCAAAAGCCCCUGAUGAUCACUAAGGAGCUUCCUGACUCCCCAUUAGGCAAAGAUCCACUCCAGUAAGCACCCUGUAGCUCCCUAACCAAUCACCUAACGCCAACCAUCCAGCAGAAUUUUGUUAUAACAAUUGGCUAUUAACCCACAAAAACUGUCCAUUUUCCCUGGUUUGUCAGGAGGUCAGCCCACUGUGCUUGCACUGCACACAUUAUCUCUGCUCUUUGUUCUUAAUAAACUCAC